AAUAAUCCAUCAUCCUUUCACCCUAUGUUUCAGAAACCCUAAUCUCCUUCGCCUCCAUCGUUCGUUCUUACAUCAUUGGUCAUCGAUAUCAAAUCACCAUUCUUUUGUAAACCCAAACCUUUCUUCCCCUUCAUCAUGAAUCAUCAUUCUCUUCUCCAAUGGUUAAACAAACCAGAUAGGGUUUCCAUUUCCUCAUCGCAAUCCGAUUUCAAAUCUCAGAAACCCUAUGCAAUCCAAAGAUAUCUUUAGGAUUAUUUUCGAAGCCCUAGAUAUCGCAUACAUCUUCCUUCUCGAUGAAGCCUCUUAAAUCUAAACAUUCAAGCAUCAGUCUAGGGUUCCGGUGGUAGAACUCAAGCAGAUCGGUGGAAAUAAAGACGAGUUCCCAGGUGUAGAUGGUGGUUGAGGUAGGUCCCGACAAACAGAGGUAACACGUGUUAGUCGUCAUCGAAAAGAUUAACUGUAUGAUAAUCUCACCAGUGGAUGGAUCAGUACACAUUUGGAAAGUCUGAGCAUUAAAAACCUGCAAUUGCAAAGCCUGAGCAUUAUAUGUUUCUGAUGAUUUUUUUUACAGUUUGCGAUUACAGCAGCAAUCAUCACUGUGUGCACGAUGGGCACUGUUUCAGUACAGUGAUAAAACAUUGGUGUUUGUCUAUUUCUUUCUGUUUGGGCGCAGUGGCAUAAUGCUAUCGUCCCUGAUCUCUACUUUCUUCACACGAGCAAAAUCGGCUAUGGGAGUUGGAACUCUUGCUUUUCUUGGAGCCUUUUUUCCUUAUUAUAUGGUCAAUGACGAAGCUGUUUCUAUGUAAGUUACUGAUAUAUAAUAUGAAUCAAUGAAUGAUGCAGUUAUGUUUUAUGAUGAUAAUGGGCAUUUGGAUCCAAGGGUUAGUGAGCAAGAAAUCAAGGAGGAAUUUCGCACCUUCGGUGUUAUCCGCAAGUAAGCGUGGAGAUUUUGUAUUCAAUUUUUGAAGUUUAAGUUGUUAAUUAAGUUCUGUUUGGUGUAAGUUGUUAUUGUUGAUUAGUGUGGGAGAUCACUUGUGAGGUUAUCUUGAAGGGAACUGUUAAGAUUUGAUUAUUGUUCACUAUUUAAUUUUUUGGACCUUCUUCUUCUUCCCUUUUUUUGUUUUGACUUUGACAAACAGACAAGAAAAUAGCCAGUGCCAAAUUGUCACUAUGGUCGGAAAUAGCUCCAGUAAUACCGCCAGCAAGCCUAUCCGUUAAUAACAUUUGCAAGAGUAUAAUGUUUGCCUGUGCUACAUGUAGAAGACAACUUCAAAUGAAAGUUUGUGCUACAAAAGUGAGAGAAACUGCCACUUUUAUUGCAGAUGUUGAGGUGAAAUAUGUUGUUGAGUUGCACAAUUGGUGUGAUCCAAAAAAAUUUUGAGUAAUAGGCCCCUUUGGCUAUUCAUCCACCAUGGCGUGUCUUCUUAGACAUUUGGCAGAUGCGUCUUUGAGAAUUCACGUACCCUGUUCGAGCUUGAAGAAACGUGCCCUUUCGUAAUGUUUUAUUAUUUUUUUAAAUCAAAUUAUUAUCGGGCUUAAUAAACCUGAUGCCAAGUGGGCUAAAUUCUAAACCAUGAUAAACGAUUUGUAAAUUUGUAAAUGGACCUAUAUUGGAAUUGUUAUGUGUUUAUUGUUUUAAAAAAAUAUUAACAUAUACAUAUAUCAGAUUUUUUUUU